CCCUUAGAUGUUCUGGGCCGCACGCGCGCUACACUGUUCGACGCAGCGAGUCUUAACCUUGACCGAAAGGUUUGGGUAAUCUUCAGCAAAGUCGAACGUGAUGGGGAUCGAUCAUUGCAAUUAUUGAUCGUGAACGAGGAAUUCCUAGUAAGUGCAAGUCAUCAGCUUGCGCUGAUUACGUCCCUGCCCUUUGUACACACCGCCCGUCGCUACUACCGAUUGAAUGGUUUAGUGAGAUCUCUGGAUUGACGCUGGCUAGGGGGCGACCCUUGGCCAGACUGUUGAGAAACUGCUCGAACUUGAUCAUUUAGAGGAAGUAAAAGUCGUAACA
rnacentral:rRNA from 1 species